GCCAGCAACCGUAUCAUCCUGGAUCUCACAACUGGCAGCCCACUAAAGCUAAGCAGGAGGGUGCCUGGUCAGUACCUGGAUGGGAGACCUCCUGGGAAAAACUAAGGUUGCUGCUAGAA
rnacentral:rRNA from 1 species